ensembl:lncRNA
GUCUUAAACCAGCGUAAAAUAAAAUCACGCUUUCACUUAACACCCCUACUCUCCAAAUAACUCCUCGUUACAAAAGUACACCAAACAGGCUUAGGCCCGUGAAAACCUCUGAGCCUUGAAUAUUAAAAGCAGUAACUAAUAAUAUGAACUGGAGUCAAGUCAGUGUGAUGAGAAUGGGGAUUUUUUAUGUAAGCUCUUGAGGAUUUCUAUGUAGGUGAAGGGUAGAAAGUAGUUUUUACCCACUUCCACCAUUGUACGUUCUGUACCCUAGAUUAAUAAACUCUCGAUGCCAGAAAAGUGUUCAUCAUACUGAAUAUCAGGAUAUUUGGGGGAUGCGAUUCUUGAACUUCCUUCAUUUGCUAUGAGCCUGUUUACUACCAUCAACCUGCUUACUUGCAGGUUUUGUCCAGUACUCACCUGGGACAGAGUGGAAAGAAUUGGUGACAUAAAAAUAUUUGUGGCUCUUCCACGAACUACCUUUGUGGCCUUUCAAUUUUUUUUUGUAAAAUACAAGUUAAUUUAAUUAUUUCCCUGUUCUCUCUUAGUCUUUAAACUCAGUCAUUCUAAUCUUAUAAAAUUUUGUUACGCGUGUUCUGCUUUCUUUUGCAGGGAACAGGCCACAGUUUCAAGUGGACUGAAAAAUAAGUCAUCACUUGGAUUCCUUAAAAUUCUAAAUUUGUAAAAAUCUUUUCUAUUUCUGAUCCACUUCCCAGUUACAUAGGUGUCCAUCCAUGUAUACUACAAAUAGGGGAUUUUUUUUUUUCCUCAUAAAACUUUGCUCUGGAGGUGAAACUAGGUUUUUUCCCUCAUUCAUUAAGAGCAAGUUUUACAAGUUCCAGGUUCAAAUGUAGUAGUAUGCAAGAGCAGCCCUGGCACCAUAUACCCUGCUGAGCCUGGAGUGUCCUCAUCUUCACUCUGUGCCCUCAGGGCCUGCCUGUGCAGCACAUGCCGGGCUCCGUUUAGUCACUGAGGUGCCUCAUCUCGUUCAGUAUCACCCCAAAAAGCUUUCAGAGAGAGGUGCUUUGAUGAUCCUCAGUUGACAGAAUAAAACCAAUAGAUGAACAGGUUAAAUACUUGCUGCAGAUUAAACAGCCAGCAUGAUGUGAAUGGAGGUACAAUCCCCAUUCUUCACCAGUAGGCUUAAGUGUUUUUGUUCAUAGUGUUACAGUUAAUAUUGAAUAUAUAUGUUUAUAUGUAAAAGCAGGUAUACAUAGAUUAAUUGACAACUUCUGAAAGGUAAUCUGUGAGUACAGUUUUGCAUUUUAGUCAAUCCUUAUUUUAAUCUUCUAUUUUAGUCUCAAAUGGAACCUUACAAAAUAGCGCUUUAUUAAUUGAUUCCAGUGAAUAUGAGAUUGAAGUUUACUAUUAAUUGCCAAGAAGGACAUAAAGGUGUGGUGGAAGGGUCUGCCAGAACCAGAGGCUAAGCACACAGCAGUGUAAAACAAAUUCUUUAUUCCAGCUUCCAGAAUGCAUCCUCUUCAGCCUUUCCUGUUCAUUGGACUAAAGCUGUUAAGCAAUGGUGUCAAGAACCGUCAUCCACUGGUUGAAGCUCAGUACAAAACCAGGAAGCAGGCGGGUUUAGAUCCAGUAGGAACAACUUGACUCAGAUCUUCGCACUUUCACUAAGGAGGGUCGGGGGUGAGGAGACAACAUUUACAUUUGUACUGAAGCUGAUCUGAUGUGAUUGUGACAGUUUUCCAGUCAGUAUUUGUUUAUCUUAAUUUAGUCGCGUGUUAAAAAUGUGAGGGUCAAAUUUACUUCCUUUCAAGGCCACUUGGCGUACACGUCUUGUAGUCUUUGGAAGGGAUGGCAAGGAAACAGCCAUGCUUUAAUGAUGGGAUUAGAUGUUGAUGAAAGCUAGGUGUAAUAGUAGAAACAUUUUAUUGUAUAUUUUUAUUCCAAAGUAAGUGCAGUGUUAUUAUAUUUAGAUAAAUGUUCAGUGAUAAGCCAGAAAUCUUACACAUACAUUGCUGAAGACAUUUUCCCUCUGGAUUUAAUAAAAUUCUGGUACACAGAGGUACAAAAUGUAAUUCAUAAAUGUAAUGAAAACCCUAGAAAACGCUUCCCGCAUGCUUUCCUUCCCUCCCCUCCCCUCCUGUCCCUUUCCUCCUCUUCUCCAGCCCACUCUCCAGUCUUGCUUGCCUUCAUUGCUGGGGGAAAAAAAAAAAGAGCAGGUGAGCACAUAAUUAGGUUGUCACUUUUAAACUCUGGAUUAGUGGGACAUCCUGGAAGACCUCCCUCAACUGCAGUGCUGAACAAACGACUUUUUCCACCCCCAUCUGCAUGCUCCUACUACUUUUGACUAGAUGUCUUGAGAAUCUGCCAAUAUUUUUAAUUGAUCAAGUGAAAAAUACACAGGAAGUAUGCCUGUUUUUUAAUUUGUUUGUAUAUUUUCUUGAUGCGUUGCAUAAAGACCCAAAGGUGCUUUGGCUUCUGUCUGUCCUCACUGGAACUGUGGUUACUGUGGGGUGUGUGGUACUCCGUAGCACACCAUAAAUCUCCACUAGAUGUCAGCGUGUCACCAAAUGAAACCAGCACUCUCUCCUGACCUGUUACUGAAACAGCUUUUUAAUCAGAAUGCUACAGACAAGUUUUAGUAUACAGGUUAAUAAAUUAUAUUUGUCAAUGAAUAGUAAUAAAAAUAAAAUCUUUAAAAAAUUUAGUACCUUUCAUCUGAGGAUUUCAAAAUGUUUUACUUAUAUUUUGGUUUUUGCCGUAAGAGCCCCAAAGAGAUAGAGUGCAAAUAUUCAUUUUUCAUUUUACAGUAAAGUAAAGCAAGGGGACAAAAUGAUUGGCUCAAGAUCACAUAGACGAUGUCUGAAUAAAUGCAGGCUGGUAUUUCUGCCAUCACAGAAUCUACUCUACCUGUGUACUUAGAUACAGAUGCCCUUUAUUUAUCAUUUAUAUUAACUGCUUUGCCUUAAAAACAAGCUCAAGAAAAAUGGAAUAAUAGUUAACAAUUAUCGAAGAUUAUUGAUACGAUUAGUAUGGGGGUGUUUCAGAUGUAAUUUUAAGUUUUUAUAAAGACUGCACAAAGAAAAUAUGCUGAACAACCUAGAUGAAAACUUUAGAAAAUCAUAGCAAUAUUUUACCUGUGCUGUUUUACAGAUGGUGAACUCAGACCAGUGUGAGCCUUGUCUUAGCUCAUGUGCUCAAGUGCAGGAGGAAAAGCAAUUAUAAUUGGGUCUGGAAGGUUGAAGCUCUUGGGUAUGAUGGGAUUAAUGGACAUAACUGCAUAUUGUAGGUUUUUC